rnacentral:rRNA from 1 species
UACGUAGGUGGCGAGCGUUGUCCGGAUUUAUUGGGUUUAAAGGGUGCGUAGGCGGCUUUGUAAGUCAGUGGUGAAAUACUCUAGCUUAACUAGAGGGGUGCCAUUGAUACUGCGGAGCUUGAGUACAGAUGAGGUAGGCGGAAUUGACGGUGUAGCGGUGAAAUGCAUAGAUAUCGUCAAGAACACCGAUAGUGAAGACAGCUUACCAAGCUUCAACUGACGCUGAGGCACGAAAGUGUGGGGAUCAAACAGG